rnacentral:rRNA from 1 species
AUUGAACGCUGGCGGCAUGCCUUACACAUGCAAGUCGAACGGCAGCACGGGUGCUUGCACCUGGUGGCGAGUGGCGCACGGGUGAGUAAUACAUCGGAACAUGUCCUGUAGUGGGGGAUAGCCCGGCGAAAGCCGGAUUAAUACCGCAUACGAUCCACGGAUGAAAGCGGGGGACCUUCGUGCCUCGCGCUAUAGGGUUGGCCGAUGGCUGAUUAGCUAGUUGGUGGGGUAAAGGCCUACCAAGGCGACGAUCAGUAGCUGGUCUGAGAGGACGACCAGCCACACUGGGACUGAGACACGGCCCAGACUCCUACGGGAGGCAGCAGUGGGGAAUUUUGGACAAAGGGCGAAAGCCUGAUCCAGCAAUGCCGCGUGUGUGAAGAAGGACUUCGGGUUGUAAAGCACUUUUGUCCGGAAAGAAAUCCUUGGCUCUAAUACAGUCGGGGGAUGACGGUACCGGAAGAAUAAGCACCGGCUAACUACGUG